ACAGUAAGAGCUUGCUCUUAUGGGUGGCGAGUGGCGGACGGGUGAGGAAUACAUCGGAAUCUACUCUUUCGUGGGGGAUAACGUAGGGAAACUUACGCUAAUACCGCAAACGACCUACGGGUGAAAGCGGAGGACCUUCGGGCUUCGCGCGAUUGAAUGAGCCGAUGUCGGAUUAGCUAGUUGGCGGGGUAAAGGCCCACCAAGGCGACGAUCCGUAGCUGGUCUGAGAGGAUGAUCAGCCACACUGGAACUGAGACACGGUCCAGACUCCUACGGGAGGCAGCAGUGGGGAAUAUUGGACAAUGGGCGCAAGCCUGAUCCAGCCAUGCCGCGUGGGUGAAGAAGGCCUUCGGGUUGUAAAGCCCUUUUGUUGGGAAAGAAAAGCAGUCGGUUAAUACCCGAUUGUUCUGACGGUACCCAAAGAAUAAGCACCGGCUAACUUCGUGCCAGCAGCCGCGGUAAUACGAAGGGUGCAAGCGUUACUCGGAAUUACUGGGCGUAAAGCGUGCGUAGGUGGUGGUUUAAGUCUGUUGUGAAAGCCCUGGGCUCAACCUGGGAAUUGCAGUGGAUACUGGGUCACUAGAGUGUGGUAGAGGGUAGCGGAAUUCCCGGUGUAGCAGUGAAAUGCGUAGAGAUCGGGAGGAACAUCCGUGGCGAAGGCGGCUACCUGGACCAACACUGACACUGAGGCACGAAAGCGUGGGGAGCAAA
rnacentral:rRNA from 1 species